GCAGAAUUCUGCGAUAAAUCAUUCAAGUUUCUGCCCUAUCAGCUUUGGAUGGUAGUGUAUUGGACUACCAUGGCAAUCACGGGUAACGGGGAAUUAGGGUUCGAUUCCGGAGAGGGAGCCUGAGAAACGGCUACCACAUCUACGGAAGGCAGCAGGCGCGAAAAUUGCCCAAUCCUGAUUCAGGGAGGCAGUGACAAGAAAUAACAACUUUCAACUUUGUUGAAAAGUGUAAUGAGGAUAAUUUACAAACCUUACCGAAAGCAAUUGGAGGGCAAGUCUGGUGCCAGCAGCCGCGGUAAUUCCAGCUCCAAAAGCGUAUAUUAAGGUUGUUGCAGUUAAAAAGCUCGUAGUUGAAGUUCUGGCUGUAUUGGGCCUUAGCACUUGAUGCGGAGGAACCAGCAGUCAUCCGCUUGCAAAUACAUGUCCUUCCUUAACCGGUAGGCUGUAUAAGUAAGCACUUUACCUUGAGAAAAACAGAGUGUUCCAGGCAGGUUUGUCCGGAAUGCGUUAGCAUGGAAUAAUAGAAUAUGACUGAAGUCGAUUUAUUGGUUUAAGGCUUUAGUAAUGAUUAAUAGGAACAAUCGGGGGCAUUGGUACUUGUCAGUCAGAGGUGAAAUUCUAGGAUUUGACAAAGACUAACUGAUGCGAAAGCGUUUGCCAAGAAUGUUUUCAUUAAUCAAGAACGAAAGUUAGGGGAUCAAAGAAGAUUUUAGGAUUGACAGAUUGAGAGUUCUUUCUUGAUUGGUCUAGUGGUGGUGCAUGGCCGUUCUUAGUUGGUGGAGUGAUUUGUCUGGUUAAUUCCGUUAACGAACGAGACCUUAACCUGCUAACUAGUACUUUGAUUUUCAAUCGGAGUUACUUCUUAGAGGGACUAUGUGAGUAAUCACAUGGAAGUCUGAGGCAAUAACAGGUCUGUGAUGCCCUUAGAUGUCCUGAGCUGCACGCGCGCUACAAUGACACAUUCAGCGAGUAUUUCCUGACCCGAAAGGGCUCGGGUAAUCUUUUCAGUGUGUGUCGUGAUAGGGAUAGAUCUUUGUAAUUAUGGAUCUUGAACGAGGAAUUCCUAGUAAGCGCACGUCAUCAGCGUGUGCUGAUUACGUCCCUGCAAAAUGUACACACCGCCCGUCGCUAUUACCGAUUGGGUGUAUAGGUGAACCUUCUCGAUAGCCGCAAGGCUAGAAAUUAAGUAAACCUUUGCACCUAGAGGAAAUAAAAGUCGUAACAAGGUUUCCGUAGGUGAACCUGCGGAAG
rnacentral:rRNA from 1 species